rnacentral:rRNA from 1 species
CCUACGGGUGACAGCAGUGGGGAAUAUUGCACAAUGGGGGCAAGCCUGAUGCAGCAACGCCGCGUGGGUGAAGAAGGACUUCGGUAUGUAAAGCCCUGUUGGCAGGGAAGAAAAUGACGGUGCCUAACUAAGAAGCUCCGGCUAAUUACGUGCCAGCAGCCACGGUCAUACGUCGGGGGCACGCGUUAGCCGGAUUUACUGGGCGUAAAGGGAGCGGAGACGGCAAGGCAAGUCUGGAGUGAAAGCCCCUGGCUCAACCUCGGGACUGCUUUGGAAACUGUGUGACUGGAGUGCAGGAGGGGUAAGCGGAAUUCCAAGUGUAGCGGUGAAAUGCGUAGAUAUUAGGAGGAACACCGGUGGCGAAGGCGGCUUACUGGGCUGUAACUGACGUUGAGGCUCGAAAGCGUGGGGAGCAAACAGGAUUAGAUACCCGAGUAGUC